rnacentral:lncRNA from 7 species
AUCAAAUGAUCCAGUCUUGUCAACGGAGCCUUGUCUAGACCCGUGCCUUUAAGAUAAACAAACUUCAAAAAGAAAAUCAAUAUGUUAGGUGGAAGAGUUCAUGCAUUUCAGAGCCUCAGUGAUAAACUCUGGUAUUCAAGAGAGGAGCUUCUGCCAACAGAGAGAGAAUAUGCACUUUUUCUACGUGCUGAGCACAGCCCAGACUUCAUUAAAUUGUUUUCGUAGCAAGAUGAGAAAAAGGACCUUUCAGAUGGAUCUUAUAGAGCUCCUGCUGCCAGAUAGUUCUGAACUUUCAUGCGGCCUUGGUCCCGAAGUACUGUUGACUUCAGUAAAGGUCGUCUUGGCAGAUAAUCUGCAGCCAACAGAGUUAGCUACUAAAUGGUCAUGGAAAUACGAUUUGAAUUGCUCUCCAUACUGCUGAGUGCACAGGUAAUUCUAUCCCAGCUAACUUGAGAUGAUUACUGUGGUAUACCGUUGGGCAGACUGGAGGAAUGCAAAGCAAAAAUUACAGCUGCUGGGAAUAGUUCUGCAGCUUUCAAGAUCACAUCAACCAUCUGAGUCCUUCAUCUUCUCAGAACCCGAGAAAUCUUGUCUAUGUGCUCCAGCACAGGCAAGCCUCUAUGCUCUGAGGAUAGAACAGAGGAGCGCUCAGUUUGAGGUGUUUUCCUUACCUUCACUGCAGAAACAGCCUGACUGACACCGGGAACAUGGCAAUCGAAAUAAGACUGGCUGGCACAGGACCGUGGCCAUCAUAUCCAGUGACAUGUAGUACAGAGGACUGCGUUCAAGUAGGGACAGGAGUUUAUGUGGCCAAAUGGCUGAAGGAGAAUCUGGAUGUGAGCUGAUUUCUCCCUCUUCUCCACGUGCAAGACUUAGGGCUCAUGCACAGGCAGGCUGGGGCAGCAUGGAUGCUCGGGCGAGCCAGGACUCCAGGAUCAGGUGAAGGAGGAUUCUCAUUCCAAUGCAACACCACAGAAAGCAGAGAUGUCCUGAAGCACCUAACCCUACCAUUUGCAAAACUAGUGCUUUAAGGGCGAGAACCCAGCAGUGUGGAGCCACUGCAGGAAGGACACAGCUUUCACCCAUCUGGCAGAAGAGGUGGCGGACAGUCCCCAGAUCCUUCAGCUGAUGCUGUUUUCUCCUCUCCUUCAACUUCUGUUUUUCCCAGUGUUACACAUUACAUUUCUGAAGCAUAUGAUGAAUGGGAUGCUGUGCAGCUGAAAAAUCACACAUCUCAAAUGGCUCACUUGGCUCUCCCAUACUAAGCUGACUGCCUGAGUUGCAGCUCUCUGACAAGGGGAAUGGUUGCUUUACUCUCAAAAUACGGGCUGCCCAAGAGGAACUGCCAAUUUAAUGUGACUCUGGUGGGAAUUUGCUCGGUGUUUCAAGGACAUGCUCUACACUGGACCCGAAGCCCUACCAGUGCCAGCCCUUAAGGCUGACAUGUAGUUCUUUCAGUCUCUCUAGUAGGACCACUUUCAGCAGAGGUGCCAAUGUCUACAGUAAGAGAAGCCAGGCAUUUAGUUGGCAUAAAUUGGUUCGACAUCUUAAGUCUAUCAACAGUGACUCACAUGAACUGAGCAUGGUGAACCUACCAGGUUUACAAAUACCCUGGCAUUAAAACAUCCAAGCCUCCUGAUCUGUUUCAGUCCAAGUGCUGCUUUUGCCAACUGAAGGUUGGAACUGUACCAUCUCUCGUGGAUUUGUGUCUGUAAAUCUAAACCUGCCAUGCUGUUGUGAUGGAUAUAAACCUUUAGUUUAUGAAUGCUUGCAUAAUUUAUACAAAUUGUUUAACCAGAAGCAAUUGCUGCAAGAAGUAGUACUAAAAUCAUAUUAAAUCCUCAUCCUGCUCUAUUUUUUUUAAUUGUUUAAAACUCUUUGCUUAAAAGGUUGUAAUUAAUUAUUUCAGUAUUAUCAAAAUGCUCUGACAAUGUAUUAUAUUCAGUGUCAUCAGCUCUGAUUAACUCUAAAAACAUUUCUUUGAUUUGAGACAUUGCAAAGCAUCCAUAGAGGUAUCCCAACAAACAAUGUAAUUCAGGUUUACAUAUAGCACAACUGAUUUCACAGAUAUACCAAUUAAAAAUUAACAAAUGAAACCCGAGCAAAUAAUGCAAAUUAACAAUACUUUUAAAAGCAAAAAUGUUUUAAGAAUAAAAUUUGAAUAGCAUCUUUUCUACUC